CUAUUAAUACCCCCAAAAGCAUUUAAUACUUAAUUAAACAAACCAUUUUUCCCCCCAAGUAUGGGCGACAGAAAAGAAACAUUCAGAGCCAUAGAAAAAGUACCGCAAGGGAAUGCUGAAAAAGAAGUGAAACAACCCAGUAAAGUUUAAAAAAGCAGAGACUUACACUCGUACCUUUUGCAUCAUGAUUUAGUCAGUAAAAACAAGCAAAAGGUACUUUAGUUUGUCUCCCCGAAACUAGGUGAGCUACUCCAAGACAGCCUAAAUAGGGCUAACCCGUCUCUGUAGCAAAAGAGUGGGAUGAGCUUAGAGUAGAGGUGAUAAACCUACCGAACUUAGUUAUAGCUGGUUGCCUGAGAAAUGAAUAGAAGUUCAGCUUUUUAGCUUCUCCCUCCAACCUGCUUGGCCGCAGCCGAACCAAAGAAACCAAAAAAGUUAGUUAAAGGGGGUACAGCUCCUUUAAACAAGAUACAACUUCACCAGCCGGGUAAAGAUCAUAUACAAUCAAGGUAAAAUGUUUUAGUGGGCCUAAAAGCAGCCACCUAUAAGAAAGCGUCAAAGCUUCUUCAUACCACCACCCUCAAAUUCAGAUAUACACCCUAAACCCACUAAUUUUAUCAAGCUACCCCAUGCUGUCAUGGGGGUGAUUAUGCUAAAAUGAGUAAUAAGAGAAGUCACCUUCUCUCCUUGCAUUCGUGUAAAUCGAAACGGACCUCCCAUCGAACAUUAAUCGGCCCCAAACAAAGAGGGCAUUGAACUAUCAACUCCAAUACAAGAAAAACACCCAAAUAUCAACCGUUAACCUCACACUAACAUGCUUACAAGGAAAGACUAAAAGAAAAAGAAGGAACUCGGCAAAUACAAGCCUCGCCUGUUUACCAAAAACAUCGCCUCUUGAAAACUAAACAUAAGAGGUCC
rnacentral:rRNA from 1 species